rnacentral:tRNA from 1 species
GCGGUGAUAGUUCAAGAGUAGAACCCGAGCACGCCACGCUCGAGAUCCGAGUGCGAUUCUCGGUCACCGCUCCA